rnacentral:rRNA from 1 species
AACCCUAAUUAAUAAACUCCGGCGUAAAAAGUGUUAAAAACAUAAUCCAAAUAAGAUUAAAUCUUAUCUAAGUCGUAAAAAACAACAGAUAUAGAUAAACUCAUAAACGAAAGUAAUCUUAAUAGCUCUGAAUACACUAAAGCUAAGACUCAAACUGGGAUUAGAUACCCCACUAUGCUUAGCCGUAAACAAAGAUAUUUAAUAACAAAAAUAUUCGCCAGAGAACUACUAGCAAUAGCUUAAAACUCAAAGGACUUGGCGGUGCUUUAAACCCAUCUAGAGGAGCCUGUUCUAUAAUCGAUAAUCCCCGAUAAACCUCACCACUUCUAGCUAAUC